GAUGAACGCUGGCGGCGUGCUUAACACAUGCAAGUCGAACGUGAGAAUAGCAAUAUUUGAAAGUGGCAAACGGGUGAGUAACACGUGGGAACCUGCCUCGAAGUGGGGGAUAACGAUUGGAAACGGUCGCUAAUACCGCACGGUUCUGCUCUGAUGGGAAUGGAGCAGAUAAAGAUUUAUCGCUUUGAGAGGGGCCCGCGGCCGAUUAGCUAGUUGGUAAGGUAAAGGCUUACCAAGGCGAUUAUCGGUAGCUGGUCUGAGAGGACGAUCAGCCACACGGGAACUGAGACACGGUCCCGACUCCUACGGGGGGCAGCAGUGAGGAAUAUUGGGCAAUGGGCGAAAGCCUGACCCAGCAACGCCGCGUGGAGGAUGAAGGCUUUAGGGUUGUAAACUCCUUUUUGUGGGGGAAAAGAAUGGAUGGUACCCCAAGAAUAAGUCACGGCUAACUACGUG
rnacentral:rRNA from 1 species